rnacentral:rRNA from 1 species
CCCGUACGGUUGCCUCGGCGCUGGCGGUCCGGAAGGCCCUCGGGCCCCCGGAUCCUCGGGUCUCCCGCUCGCGGGAGGCUGCCCGCCGGAGUGCCGAAACCAAACUCUUGAUAUUUUAUGUCUCUCUGAGUAAACUUUUAAAUAAGUCAAAACUUUCAACAACGGAUCUCUUGGUUCUGGCAUCGAUGAAGAACGCAGCGAAAUGCGAUAAGUAAUGUGAAUUGCAGAAUUCAGUGAAUCAUCGAAUCUUUGAACGCACAUUGCGCUCGCCAGUAUUCUGGCGAGCAUGCCUGUUCGAGCGUCAUUUCAACCAUCAAGCUCUGCUUGCGUUGGGGAUCCGCGGCUGCCCGCGGUCCCUCAAAAACAGUGGCGGGCUCGCUAGUCACACCGAGCGUAGUAACUCUACAUCGUUCUGGUCGUGCGGCGGGUUCUUGCCGUAAAACCCCCCAAUUUCUAAGGUUGACCUCGGAUCAGGUAGGAAUACCCGCUGAACUUAAGCAUAUCAAUAAGCGGAGGAAAAGAAACCAACAGGGAUUGCCCUAGUAACGGCGAGUGAAGCGGCAACAGCUCAAAUUUGAAAUCUGGCUUCGGCCCGAGUUGUAAUUUGUAGAGGAAGCUUUUGGUGAGGCACCUUCUGAGUCCCCUGGAACGGGGCGCCAUAGAGGGUGAGAGCCCCGUAUAGUCGGAUGCCGAUCCAAUGUAAAGCUCCUUCGACGAGUCGAGUAGUUUGGGAAUGCUGCUCAAAAUGGGAGGUAAAUUUCUUCUAAAGCUAAAUAUAGGCCAGAGACCGAUAGCGCACAAGUAGAGUGAUCGAAAGAUGAAAAGCACUUUGAAAAGAGGGUUAAAUAGCACGUGAAAUUGUUGAAAGGGAAGCGUUUUUGACCAGACUUGCGCCGUUCCGAUCAUCCGGUGUUCUCACCGGUGCACUCGGGACGGCUCAGGCCAGCAUCGG